rnacentral:tRNA from 1 species
GCCGACGUAGCUCAAUUGGCAGAGCAACGGAUUUGUAAUCCGUAGGUUAGGGGUUCGAUUCCCCUCGUCGGCUCCA